UACGUAGGGUCCAAGCGUUAAUCGGAAUUACUGGGCGUAAAGCGUGCGCAGGCGGUUGUGCAAGACCGAUGUGAAAUCCCCGGGCUUAACCUGGGAAUUGCAUUGGUGACUGCACGGCUAGAGUGUGUCAGAGGGGGGUAGAAUUCCACGUGUAGCAGUGAAAUGCGUAGAGAUGUGGAGGAAUACCGAUGGCGAAGGCAGCCCCCUGGGAUAACACUGACGCUCAUGCACGAAAGCGUGGGGAGCAAACAGGAUUAGAUACCCCCGUA
rnacentral:rRNA from 1 species